rnacentral:rRNA from 1 species
AUGAAUCAAGCCGCCACGCGCGGCCGGUCUACCUCUCCCGCUACUCUCCAGCAGCGCGGCCGUUGCCCUUUUCUUCCCCUCCUCACCCGCCCCAACUCCUCACCCCCAGCCUCCUCGGCCUCAACGCGGACGUCUCCGAUUUGGAUAGGAUUCGAUGGCGUGUUCACACCGCCACGCGCGGCCGGUGCCCUGUUCUUCGCCUCCUCACCCCCGGCCUCCUCCGCCUCGAGGAGGACGGCUCCGAUUUGGAGCUCAAGUACUGCCUCCCCGACACCUCCGUCCCCAACUACGUCGUCCCGUCAGACGAGGACGAGAUUUGGAUUGGGGCGCAACAGAGAUGAGGAAGGACAAAGCAAGAAUAGCUCCAGUGAGAGUGAACGAAUAUGA